AUGCUGCUCCACUCCUCCCUUGCCGCCGCCACCUCCGGCGCCCGAUCCUGGCAACCUCAGGCGGGAAUCGAGGACCCCAGUCCAGCAAGAUCCGGCGCGCGCGGCGAGAUCCAUCUCUCUCUCACACGAGAAGGAAAAUCCCCCGUGCUGGAGCAGUUGAGCGGACAGUCACCGGUGUUCUCCAAGGCGAGGUACACUGUUAGGUCGUUCAGUAUCAGGCGUAAUGAGAAGAUUGCAUGCUACAUGACUAUCAGAGUUGAGAGGGCGAUGCAACUGCUAGAGAGUGGCCUGAAGGUGAAGGAGUAUGAGCUGCUCAGGAGGAACUUCAACGACACCGGAUGGUUUGGCUUCGAUAUCCAGAGCACAUCGAUCUCGCUUGUUAUGAAAAUUUAUUUACUUGUCAUGUGUUGUACGCCUGCCUUUCUUUGGCUUCUUGAAAUCACAUUUUGUUUGGUAGGGGACAACUUUAAUUUGCUCAUCGCAAACAAGUCAAAAAAUUGUACGUAUGUGCAGCUUGCUGAAACUUCGACUGAAUCUACUUGGAUCUUCAGUUUCUUGUAUCUAUGA
rnacentral:rRNA from 1 species